UACGUAGGGCGCAAGCGUUAUCCGGAAUCAUUGGGCGUAAAGCGCGUGUAGGCGGCCCGGUAAGUCCGCUGUGAAAGUCCAGGGCUCAACCCUGGAAUGCCGGUGGAUACUGUCGGGCUCGAGUCCGGAAGAGGCGAGUGGAAUUCCUGGUGUAGCGGUGAAAUGCGCAGAUAUCAGGAGGAACACCAAUGGCGAAGGCAGCUCGCUGGGACGGUACUGACGCUGAGACGCGAAAGCGUGGGGAGCAAACAGG
rnacentral:rRNA from 1 species